AUGACGCUGGACGACCGGAUAGUUAUUGUGGGUGCGGGGAUUGGUGGUGUCCACAUGGCUUCCUUACUGAAGGAUCGUGGCUACAGAAAUGUUGUUAUAUUAGAACAACGACCAGAGAUCGGCGGGAAGGCUUACUCUCGAUUCUACAGAGGAGUCUGGAACGAGUUUGGAACCGUGUUUUUUACGGACAUUUACGAUCAAACAGCGAAACUAAUUGAGAAAUACACUCCAAGUUUUAGAAUCAAAUCCAAAAGUACUUCUUCUCUCAUGCAGAACGACAAUGAGGAAACAUCGUGGCGAGAAUUUCUAAUCCAAAAUACCGGAGAAACCAACCCCCAGGUCGCUCUUCGUAGAAUUGUUGCUCAGUUAAACAGAUAUGAACAAAUCCAUCGCUGUUUGUUCGGAAAUUACUCCAGUGAACUUAUGCCUCGCCCGACACCCGACGUUAUGUACGAAAUUCAAGGGACAGUUUUGGAGUUCUUACAGAGAAAUGAUUUAUUGCUUUUGGCUCCAUAUUUCCGAAUUUUUCUUACAACCAAUGGCUACGGCUAUGUCAAUGAAACUGCAGCUAUAUAUGGACUGAUGUGGGUUCCCCCAGUCGUCAUUAGAGGGACGUUUACACCGACAAACGGAUUCUGGAUUCUGGAGGGUGGAUUUCAGGUGCUUGUAAAUGAAAUUGCAAAGCAAAGGAAUUUAGAUAUUCGUCUUGGAGUGGACGUCGUUCAAAUUCAGAGAAGGAAUGGCCCAUUGGGUGUAUUUGUAUCUUAUAAGUCAAAGGGAAGUUCAGCUGUUCUUACUGAUCGUUUUGACUUUCUCAUACUUUCUCCAGCAAUGAACUCACUGUUUGAUAUCGUUGAUUUCCACCCACAAGAGAAGAAUAUUUUCAAGAAUCUGAUGAAUGCUAAUUUCGUCACUUCCGUGGUGGAAUCUGACAUAGGUAGACGUCCCCGUGAUCCUCAAGUGUAUUUUAAUCACGACCUAGACCAGCUAUGUAUUCUAUGUAUUUAUCAAUUACGUUUUACCACCUUAAAAAUAACAUCACUGGCGAUGAUUUUCGUUUUGGAAUUCGAGAAAAUGGCCCCGAUGGUAGGCCCCAAGAAACGACCAUGUACUAUCAGUACGGUCUUGAAAACCCCUGGGCAAUAGACAUAGAUUCAAUGAUUCAAUCAAAACUUGGAGCAUUUCUUAAAAGAUUCGAUAAAACUAAUCCACGAGUUCUCGAACAGAUAAAAUGGGGAUACUAUUUCCCAAGGUUUCCGCCCCCAGCGGCAGAUAGAGGAUAUCUAUGGGAUAUUUUAGACAUGCAAG
rnacentral:sRNA from 1 species